GCUGGGCGAUAUGGAGAAAAUCAAAUAUCACAAUAUUUUUGACCAAACACAUAGAUGUCAACAUUGCGGCGAUAUUCUAGGGUUGUGUAUUGG